rnacentral:rRNA from 1 species
UACGAAGGGGGCGAGCGUUAUUCGGAAUCACUGGGCGUAAAGCGUGCGUAGGCUGUUUCACAAGUUGGAAGUGAAAGCCCAGGGCUCAACCCUGGAAUUGCUUUCAAAACUGUGAGACUAGAAUCCGGGAGAGGAUAGCGGAAUUUCCAGUGUAGUAGUGAAAUACGUAGAUAUUGGAAGGAACACCAGUGGCGUAAGCGGCUAUCUGGACCGGCAUUGACGCUGAGGCACGAAAGCGUGGGGAUCAAACAGG